CGGGAGAGAGCUGAGCCUCAGCGCAUUCUCACAAGAUAGUCCAGGCUGCUCAUUCCUUCGCUGCGAAAGCCCCUUCUGCGCUUUGGGCCUGCUUCCCUCUCCGCACCAUGUGAAGUUGGGCUACUUGGGCGGGAGUUCCAGAAGGAGGACAUUGCUCUGAAUUACCGGGACGCGGAGGGGGACCUGGUCCGGCUGCUGUCAGAUGACGACGUGGGGAUCAUGGUCAGGCAGGCGCGAGGGCUCCCCUCCCAGAAGCGCCUCUUCCCCUGGAAGCUGCACGUCACCCAGAGGGACAACUACAGGGUCUACAACACAGUGCCCUGAGCCGUCCCUGCGGCCACGAGGGGGCACUGGCAAGGAGCCCUCCGCGGGGGGAUUAGGAGCAGCCUAGGCCAAGGCCGGGCACGGGCAGACGUCCUGGUCGAGUCACGGGCCCUCUGGGCUUGGCUUGUGCUGUUCCCAGUUUUCUCGGGAUUAAUAAACCAUUCCUCUCAAAGGGCAA